rnacentral:rRNA from 1 species
UAAAGAUUCAUCGCUGAUAGAUAGGCAUGCGUUCCAUUAGGCAGUUGGCGGGGUAACGGCCCACCAAACCGACGAUGGAUAGGGGUUCUGAGAGGAAGGUCCCCCACAUUGGUACUGAGACACGGACCAAACUCCUACGGGAGGCAGCAGUGAGGAAUAUUGGUCAAUGGGCGUAAGCCUGAACCAGCCAAGUCGCGUGAGGGAUGAAGGUUCUAUGGAUCGUAAACCUCUUUUAUAAGGGAAUAAAGUGCGGGACGUGUCCCGUUUUGUAUGUACCUUAUGAAUAAGGAUCGGCUAACUCCGUGCCAGCAGCCGCGGUAAUACGGAGGAUCCGAGCGUUAUCCGGAUUUAUUGGGUUUAAAGGGUGCGUAGGCGGCCUUUUAAGUCAGCGGUGAAAGUCUGUGGCUCAACCAUAGAAUUGCCGUUGAAACUGGGAGGCUUGAGUAUGUUUGAGGCAGGCGGAAUGCGUGGUGUAGCGGUGAAAUGCUUAGAUAUCACGCAGAACCCCGAUUGCGAAGGCAGCCUGCCAAGCCAUGACUGACGCUGAUGCACGAAAGCGUGGGGAUCAAACGGGAUUAGAUACCCUGGUAGUCCACGCA